rnacentral:rRNA from 1 species
AAUCAACGCUGGCGGCGUGCCUCAGACAUGCAAGUCGAACGCGAAAUCUCCCUUCGGGGGAGAAGGUAGAGUGGCGCACGGGUGAGUAACACGUAGGUAAUUUGCCUUUGGGUGGGGAAUAACUCAGGGAAACUUGAGCUAAUACCGCAUAAUGCAGCGGCUCGACAUCGAGACAGUUGUUAAAGCGGGGAGUCGCAAGACCUCGCGCCUGAAGAGAAGCCUGCGGCAGAUUAGCUAGUUGGUAGGGUAAUGGCCUACCAAGGCGACGAUCUGUAACCGGCCUGAGAGGGCGGUCGGUCACACUGACACUGACA